GACGAACGCUGGCGGCGUGCUUAACACAUGCAAGUCGAACGGAAAGGCCCUGCUUGCAGGGUACUCGAGUGGCGAACGGGUGAGUAACACGUGGGUGAUCUGCCCUGCACUUCGGGAUAAGCCUGGGAAACUGGGGCUAAUACCGGAUAGGUGCCAUUUUUAGUGUGAUGGUUGGAAAGUUUUUUCGGUGUAGGAUGAGCUCGCGGCCUAUCAGCUUGUUGGUGGGGUAAUGGCCUACCAAGGCGGCGACGGGUAGCCGGCCUGAGAGGGUGGACGGCCACAUUGGGACUGAGAGACGGACCAGACUCCUACGGGAGGCAGCAGUGGAGAAUAUUGCACAAUGGGCGCAAGCCUGAUGCAGCGACGCCGCGUGGGGGAUGACGGCCUUCUGGUUGAAAACUCCUUUCGCUAGGGACGAAGCUUUUUGUGACGGUACCUAGAUAAGAAGCACCGGCUAACUACGUG
rnacentral:rRNA from 1 species